GAUGAACGCUGGCGGCGUGCUUAACACAUGCAAGUCGAACGAAGCACUUUAUUUGAUUUCCUUCGGGACUGAUUAUUUUGUGACUGAGUGGCGGACGGGUGAGUAACGCGUGGGUAACCUGCCUUGUACAGGGGGAUAACAGUUGGAAACGGCUGCUAAUACCGCAUAAGCGCACAGCAUCGCAUGAUGCAGUGUGAAAAACUCCGGCGGUAUAAGAUGGACCCGCGUUGGAUUAGCUAGUUGGUGAGGUAACGGCCCACCAAGGCGACGAUCCAUAGCCGACCUGAGAGGGUGACCGGCCACAUUGGGACUGAGACACGGCCCAAACUCCUACGGGAGGCAGCAGUGGGGAAUAUUGCACAAUGGGCGAAAGCCUGAUGCAGCGACGCCGCGUGAGCGAAGAAGUAUUUCGGUAUGUAAAGCUCUAUCAGCAGGGAAGAUAAUGACGGUACCUGACUAAGAAGCACCGGCUAAAUACGUG
rnacentral:rRNA from 1 species